rnacentral:lncRNA from 1 species
UUCCUAUGUGUUUCCUUUUUUGACUUCUUUUUUUUUAUUUCCUCGGCAACGGUGCCAGAAAUGCUUGUUGACACUAGCUAACACCACUUAGAUACUAGGUUGUCAUCCCCAGCAUGGUGCCAGAUUGUAUGAAGGUAUUUAUGAAUGUAAUGGCUCUCUAGAAAAUAAUCUAUUCUAUCCGCAAGCACACAGAUAAAACACCUCAUUGUAGCAUUUCCCCAGGAAAGUAUUUCAGGUAUCGUUAUUUAUAAUUUUGCUCAGGAAAAAUGGUGAAAUGAAGAUAAGGAUUAAUCUAUCAAGGCAUAG